UGGCAGGUUAGGCCGGCGUACUAGUCCUACGCCGUUCGCAAAUGGACUUAUGGCGAGCCGCAAGAGGAUCCGUUAUAUGUUUGUUAAUAAGUCCUGGUUCGGACGUUGACGUCUUGUCCCGCUUGAUCUUGCCUUAAUGAACCGGGUCAGUCUCGGAAGAGGGCAGCCCUAAUUUAAGGUUAAGGUGCUUGUGGGGUUGCAAGGCCGAGAAAGAAUCAGGGAAACUUAUUAAUAAGCAUAGAAGCGAAUCCUCGAACCUGCCG
rnacentral:SRP_RNA from 1 species